UACGGAGGAUCCAAGCGUUAUCCGGAAUCAUUGGGUUUAAAGGGUCCGUAGGCGGUUUAAUAAGUCAGUGGUGAAAGCCCAUCGCUCAACGGUGAAACGGCCAUUGAUACUGUUAAACUUGAAUUAUUAGGAAGUAACUAGAAUAUGUAGUGUAGCGGUGAAAUGCUUAGAGAUUACAUGGAAUACCAAUUGCGAAGGCAGGUUACUACUAAUGGAUUGACGCUGAUGGACGAAAGCGUGGGUAGCGAACAGG
rnacentral:rRNA from 1 species